AUCGCUUCUCGGCCUUUUGGCUAAGAUCAAGUGUAGAACCUUCCCUCUGCCAAGGGUUUACUCGGCACUAAAAUCAAAGGAAGUUUAAAUAUUUCUUUCAACAGUUAUUUUUCAGAGACAAUUUAGGUGUAACCUUAGCAGGAACCAUAGGUUAAAUGAAUUCUUCUAUUAUUUGUACUUAAUAAAGGCAGGAAUCUUGG
rfam:Fukomys damarensis contig86775, whole genome shotgun sequence.